rnacentral:rRNA from 1 species
AACGUAGGAGGCAAGCGUUAUCCGGAAUUACUGGGCGUAAAGCGCAUGCAGGCGGUUUUUUAAGUCGGACGUAAAAGCUCCCGGCUCAACUGGGAGAGGCCGUUCGAAACUGAAAGACUUGAGGAUGGUAGAGGCGAGUGGAAUUCCCGGUGUAGUGGUGAAAUGCGUAGAUAUCGGGAGGAACACCAGUGGCGAAGGCGGCUCGCUGGGCCAUACCUGACGCUCAGAUGCGAAAGCUAGGGGAGAGAACGGG